AUCAAGUGUCAGAAAUCGGGGAGAUUCAAAAUGGUGCCUGGAUGAGGGAAGCUGGCACGGCAGGGCCUCUGCAACCAAAAGGAUCAGGAAAGAGUUGGGAUAUCCUGCAAAAUAGAUAGGAGACAGCCCAAGUGCCUUGGACGUGUCAGGAUUCUGCUUGGCUACGGGGGAAAAAAUGAACCCAAGUAGCUAGUUCUACAGAGAAAAUGGCACAAUCUGGCAGUCUUUGGAGGCAGAAGUCAUUAUUACAUCAUUAAGAACUGUCCCUCAUGCUGUAUGGACAUCCUACUUGGGUCAGGCACAAACAACCAGAGCCUCUUGCAAGCACCUAAAAUCAGCUUUAGACAUCAAUCUGUGGAGUUAGGCGGAAAAAUUCAGGGAAUGAAUCCAGAAGCAACUGCUCUCCACCAGUUGCAGCAAACCCACUUACGUGGUCCUGCAUAGAAACACCUCCAAGUUACUGGAAUGCACGAGAACUGGCUGCUCAUAAAAUGAGGACCUUUGAUUAAUUUCACGGAGGCUGUUUGAAAAGUUUGCACGCUCUCUCUUUUUUUUUUUUUUUGCUGGAGUACAUUUAUCUAAGAAAGAUUUAUUUUUUUUAAAUGAUUUAAUAAGAUUAUUAUUUUUAAAUACAAUCGAAACAUAAGCUGAUUAGAAAAGAGGUUAUACAGUAUGUUGAUGUUUUUGUCAUAUGUAUAAAUACUAGAAAAAUGUUUAUACCCCACUCUGUAUGUAUUGAAUGUAUUAAGAAUUAUAUUUCUUUAAUGUAGACAAAAGGAGAAUAUUGUUGGAAGAAGAGAGGAUCAAGGAAAUAUAUUAUCAACUAACAAACGGAUCAACUAUAGAAAUUGAAUUUCUACCCUUCACCCAGCCAGUGCACUGUUGUCUUUUAAUUGCUCCUUUUGCACUUCCAGUAUAUUCAAAUAUGGUCUUUAGUCUCAGUUCUGCAGAUUGCUCAGAAAUGUUCAGCAAGAUCAAUUCAGCCAGUAAAUAAAUCCCUCAGAGAGCUGGCGGGCAAGGAAUGGAUUGGAAAAAAAAAAAGAGCAAAUUGAACAGAAUCCUGCGUUGUUUCAAAUCCACCCACCCUGAAACAGGUGCAGGAUUGUGUCUGUGUGUGCGUGAUUCAUCCUUCUGCGCGUCCUAUCCCGUACUCACAAUUGCUGUGGCAGAGAUUUUGCAACGC